UUUUUCUUUGAUACGAACGCCUUCUAUUCACUGCACCGUUUAAUUAAUAAACGAUUGGAGGGGAAAAGAACGGCUAGAAGAAAUUCAAUUACCACCUCAUACCCUACAUGCUCAAAACUUUUACGCAUAUUUUGGUAACUGGGUCAUUGAAACACAC
rnacentral:snoRNA from 1 species